rnacentral:rRNA from 1 species
UACGGAGGGGGCUAGCGUUGUUCGGAAUUACUGGGCGUAAAGCGUACGUAGGCGGCUUGAUAAGUUAGAGGUGAAAGCCCGGGGCUCAACUCCGGAAUAGCCUUUAAGACUGUCUCGCUUGAACGUCGGAGAGGUGAGUGGAAUUCCGAGUGUAGAGGUGAAAUUCGUAGAUAUUCGGAAGAACACCAGUGGCGAAGGCGGCUCACUGGACGACUGUUGACGCUGAGGUACGAAAGCGUGGGGAGCAAACAGG